GUUACUACACUCAGAUUACUACACUCAGGUUACUACACUCAGAUUACUACACUCAGGUUACUACACUCAGGUUACUACACUCGGAUUACUACACUCGGAUUACUACACUCAGAUUACUACACUCAGAUUACUACACUCAGGUUACUACACUCAGAUUACUACACUCAGGUUACUACACUCAGAUUACUACACUCAGGUUACUACACUCAGAUUACUACACUCAGAUUACUACACUCGGGUUACUACACUCGGGUUACUACACUCAGGUUACUACACUCAGGUUACUACACUCAGGUUACUACACUCAGAUUACUACACUCAGGUUACUACACUCAGGUUACUACACUCGGAUUACUACACUCAGAUUACUACACUCAGAUUACUACACUCAGAUUACUACACUCGGGUUACUACACUCAGAUUACUACACUCGGGUUACUACACUCGGGUUACUACACUCGGGUUAGUACACUCGGGUUACUACACUCGGGUUACUACACUCGGGUUACUACACUCGGGUUAGUACACUCGGGUUACUACACUCGGGUUACUACACUCGGGUUAGUACACUCGGGUUAGUACACUCGGGUUAGUACACUCGGGUUAGUACACUCGGAUUACUACACUCGGAUUACUACACUCGGAUUACUACACUCGG
ensembl:lncRNA